CCUACGGGGCGCUGCAGUAGGGAAUAUUGUUCAAUGGGGGAAACCCUGAAGCAGCAACGCCGCGUGGAGGAUGAAGGUUUUCGGAUUGUAAACUCCUUUUGUUAGAGAAGAUAAUGACGGUAUCUAACGAAUAAGCACCGGCUAACUCCGUGCCAGCAGCCGCGGUAAUACGGAGGGUGCAAGCGUUACUCGGAAUCACUGGGCGGAAAGAGCGCGUAGGCGGGAUAGCAAGUCAGAUGUGAAAUCCUAUGGCUUAACCAUAGAACUGCAUUUGAAACUGUUAGUCUAGAGUAUGGGAGAGGUAGGUGGAAUUCUUGGUGUAGGGGUAAAAUCCGUAGAGAUCAAGAGGAAUACUCAGUGCGAAGGCGACCUGCUAGAACAUAACUGACGCUGAUGCGCGAAAGCGUGGGGAGCAAACAGGAUUAGAUACCCGAGUAGUC
rnacentral:rRNA from 1 species